rnacentral:rRNA from 1 species
UACGGAGGAUGCGAGCGUUAUCCGGAUUUACUGGGUGUAAAGGGAGCGUAGGCGGCAAGGUAAGCCAGAAGUGAAAGCCCGUGGCUCAACUGCGGGACUGCUUUUGGAACUAUCUAGCUAGAUUGCAGGAGAGAAGUACGCGGAAUGCGCGGUGUAGCGGUGAAAUGCUUAGAUAUCGCGCAGAACUCCGAUUGCGAAGGCAGCAUGCCGGCUCCACACUGACGCUGAGGCACGAAAGCGUGGGUAUCGAACAGG